ensembl:lncRNA
GGGCGGCUCCUCCCCGCGCCUCGGGCAGCUCGGGCAGCUCGGGGCCGUGCGGGGACGGCCGUGCGGGGACGGCGAGCCCCGGGCCCCGCGCCGCCCGUGUGCGGGCCGUGCGAUCGCCGCUAACGGCCGGCCCCCGCUCGGUGCGUUGCAGCCGGGAGCGCCUGGCACCGCGCUGACCGUCCGCCCGUGGAGCCGGCAGCGGAGGACGAGCGGCGGCACGACGAGGACCGGGACGACGACGACGACGACGACGAGGACGACGACGACGACGAGGACGAGCGGAGCCUGCGGACGGCCCUCAAGAAGCUGCGGCUGGACGCGGCGCGGCGGCACGAGGACGAGGAGGAGCAGCAGCAGCAGCAGCACAACGACGACGACGACGACGACGAGGACGAGGAGGAGCGCAGCCUGCGGACGGCCCUCCAGGAGCUGCGGGUGGACGCGGCGCGGUGUGAGAGGACUGCAGGAGGACCGGCCGGUCUCUCACGGCACGGACGUUCCAGGUCUCCUGUCCUGUAUCCUCCCACGUUUACGCACUGCGGCACAAAACACAAAACCCGGUCACACACACCAAAGACUCACGUCCGUUCCAGUGUUUGUGCUACAGCAGAACACGGCACAGAGGACAGACACAGUCCUCACUUUGAGGCCAGCCAUGGCAGAAGAGCCACAGCUGAACCUCUGCUGAACCACCGCUGCGGGGCCUGUGGGGAAGUCACGGGAGAACUGCCUCGCUCUGCCCUCAUCGUCUCACUCUGACUCACACAACAGCCAAACCUCACUUUUCCUUUCCUUAUCCACGCUUCACAGAUCCAUCUGUGAAACAGCCCUGUGCAGCCCUCCCGCAUCCCGUUCUGUGGAGGCUCACGCUUAUGUCAGUGACGUGACUGUGGAAGACCUGGCAGGGUACCUGGAACACCAUCUGCAUAUACCAAAGAAAAUGUCUGCCAUGGCAGAAAUGAUGUAUUCAUAACCAAACAGCAAAAACAGUCACGAUUCUAAGCGUUAUCAGAAAUUUAAAUGGCUCGUUUGUGCCAUAUUUGUAAUGUUCUGUUUCAUGUACAGUUUAGUUUUGUAAUUAAGAGAAAAACUGUACAUCGUUGCAUAGACUCCUGUGGCUGAAAUGAUGUAUACUUAACUGAAAGCCAUACUCAGUCACAUAGUAAUACAGUUUAUUUUUGUAACUCGAAUAAAAACUGUAUAUAGUCUCAU